UUGUGAAUACUUCACAGAAUCAUUUCUAUAGUGUGUAAUUCUUUGCUUUCAUCGAAAUUGCAAGGAAUGCAGUCGCGAUGAUGAGGACUGAGGGUAUUUUCCAUACAGACUCGUUGUGAA
rnacentral:snoRNA from 1 species